rnacentral:snRNA from 1 species
UGAUUCUAUGAUUCUAUGUGUGUCCCUCCUGAAGCUGCGUGCUCGGUGGAAGAAGACGACGUCCCAGGUAUAGAAGGAGUGUACCAAGGUCUCCAGUCUUCGGUCCCGGGUAUACGAUAGCUGCGCUCCCAUGCUAGAACCUCCAAACAAGCUCAAGGUUGCCAGCUAGAUGCUAUUUUCUAUCAAAAAAUAAAGGAAGCAAUGACUUAGUGCCAGGGAAAAUACAUAAAUGCAUUGCCAAACAACUGCAAUUUCAA